rnacentral:lncRNA from 1 species
AAAAAUUCAAAUUUCUGAAGUGGAAUCAGGUUUUUCCCACGUUGCUUUGAAAAAUAAUCUGGAUAUAAAAAAGAUCCUUAGAGUAAAUCCUUGGAUCUUUAGAAACGCAUGGCUCUCUGUCAAACCUUGGUCUCAAGAUUAUGUUCUCAAAAAGAUCAAUUUUCAAGGUUCCUAUUUGGGUUCAACUUUGGGGAAUUCCCUGGAAAAUGAGAUAUUCUUAAAUGGGAGAGAUGGUUGGUACUAAGAUUAG